rnacentral:rRNA from 1 species
CGAUCGGUAGCCGGACUGAGAGGUUGAACGGCCACAUUGGGACUGAGACACGGCCCAGACUCCUACGGGGGGCAGCAGUGGGGAAUAUUGCACAAUGGGGGAAACCCUGAUGCAGCGACGCCGCGUGGAGGAAGAAGGUCUUCGGAUUGUAAACUCCUGUUGUUGAGGAAGAUAAUGACGGUACUCAACAAGGAAGUGACGGCUAACUACGUGCCAGCAGCCGCGGUAAAACGUAGGUCACAAGCGUUGUCCGGAAUUACUGGGUGUAAAGGGAGCGCAGGCGGGCGAUCAAGUUGGAAGUGAAAUCCAUGGGCUCAACCCAUGAACUGCUUUCAAAACUGAUUGUCUUGAGUAGUGCAGAGGUAGGCGGAAUUCCCGGUGUAGCGGUGGAAUGCGUAGAUAUCGGGAGGAACACCAGUGGCGAAGGCGGCCUACUGGGCACCAACUGGCGCUGAGGCUCGAAAGUGUGGGUAGCAAACAGGAUUAGAUACCCUGGUAGUCCACACCGUAAACGAUGAUUACUAGGUGUUGGAGGAUUGACCCCUUCAGUGCCGCAGUUAACACAAUAAGUAAUCCACCUGGGGAGUACGACCGCAAGGUUGAAACUCAAAGGAAUUGACGGGGGCCCGCACAAGCAGUGGAGUAUGUGGUUUAAUUCGACGCAACGCGAAGAACCUUACCAAGUCUUGACAUCCUGCGACGGACAUAGAAAUAUGUUUUUCCUUCGGGACGCAGAGACAGGUGGUGCAUGGUUGUCGUCAGCUCGUGUCGUGAGAUGUUGGGUUAAGUCCCGCAACGAGCGCAACCCUUAUGGUCAGUUACUACGCAAGAGGACUCUGGCCAGACUGCCGUUGACAAAACGGAGGAAGGUGGGGAUGACGUCAAAUCAUCAUGCCCUUUAUGACUUGGGCUACACACGUACUACAAUGGCGUUAAACAAAGAGAUGCAAGACCGCGAGGUGGAGCAAAACUCAGAAACAACGUCCCAGUUCGGACUGCAGGCUGCAACUCGCCUGCACGAAGUCGGAAUUGCUAGUAAUCGCAGAUCAGCAUGCUGCGGUGAAUACGUUCCCGGGCCUUGUACACACCGCCCGUCACACCAUGAGAGCCGGGGGGACCCGAAGUCGGUGGUCUAACCGCAAGGAGGACGCCGCCGAAGGUAAAACUGGUGAUUGGGGUGAAGUCGUAACAAGGUAGCCGUAGGAGAACCUGCGGCUG